UACGGAGGGUGCAAGCGUUAUCCGGAUUCACUGGGUUUAAAGGGUGUGUAGGCGGGCUGUUAAGUCAGUGGUGAAAUCUCCGGGCUCAACCCGGAAACUGCCAUUGAUACUAUCAGUCUUGAAUACCGUUGAGGUGGGCGGAAUAUGUCAUGUAGCGGUGAAAUGCAUAGAUAUGACAUAGAACACCAAUUGCGAAGGCAGCUCACUAAACGGUCAUUGACGCUGAGGCACGAAAGCCAGGGGAGCGAACGGG
rnacentral:rRNA from 1 species